rnacentral:rRNA from 1 species
UCAAAGGACCAUACCAUCCUGAACAAAAUGGGUUUCGCCUGAUUUUGGAAGCCAAGCAGGGUCAGGUCUGGUUAGCACCUUGGUGGAAGACCACCAGGAAAUACUAGGGAUCUCUAGGA